UACAGAGGGGGCAAGCGUUGUUCGGAAUUACUGGGCGUAAAGGGCGCGUAGGCGGCCUGUUAAGUCGAACGUGAAAUCCCCGGGCUCAACCCGGGAACUGCGUCCGAUACUGGCAGGCUUGAAUCCGGGAGAGGGAUGCGGAAUUCCAGGUGUAGCGGUGAAAUGCGUAGAUAUCAAGAGGAACACCUGAGGCGAAGGCGGGUUGCUAGGCUGACACUGACGCUGAGUGCGCGAAAGCCAGGGGAGCAAACGGG
rnacentral:rRNA from 1 species